UUUCUCUUAGUUUAAUAGAAAGAAAAUGCAAGAAUCGAAUGGAGAUAGAGGCUAAAAUUAUGUAUCUGCAGGAGGAAUUUAUUUAGCUGCAUUUAAGCAGUAAUUUUGACAAUGCUGGUCUUCUCCAAAGUACAAGUGAGAAGUGACAGCGUGCUGGCAACCCUCGCAGCCCUGGCAUACUCUUGGUGCCACCUCAGUCUUGGCGCCCACUGUGGCCACGCUUGAGGAGCCCUUCAACCCACCGCUGCACUGUGGAAGCCCCUCCCUGGGCUGGCCAAGGCCGGAUCCUGCUCCCUCAGCUUGCAGGGAGGUGUGGAGGGAGAGGCACUGGCGGGAACUGGGGCUGCGCACGGAACUUGCGGGCCAGCGCGAGUUCUGGGUGGGCGUGGGCUCAGCGGCCUGCACUCGGAGCGGCUGGCUGGCGCCGUGAGCCUGGGGCAGUGAGGGGCUUAGCACCCAGGCCAGCAGCUGCGGAGGGUGCACCGAGUCCCCUAGCAGGGCCGGCCUACCAGCGCUGCGCUCAAAUUCUCACUGGGCCUCAGCUGCCUCCCUGCAUGGCAGGGCUUGGGACCUGCAGCCUGCCAUGCCUCCCUCCCACCCUCUCCCGCAGGUUCCUGCACAGCCUGAGCCUCCCCGAGGAGGCCGCCCCCUACUCCACAGCCCCGGGUCCCAUCGACCGCCCAAGGGCUGAGUACAGCCGCACAGUGUGGGACUGGUGGGCAGCUCCACCUGCAGCCCAGUGCGGGAUCCACUAGGUGAAGCCAGCUGGGACUUGGAGAACUUUUAUGACUAGCUAGAGGAUUGUAAAUACACCAAUCAGCACCCUGUGUCUAGCUCAAGGUUUGAAAAUGCACCAAUCAGCACCCUGUGUCUAGCUCAGGGUUUGUAAAUGCACCAAUCAGUGCUCUGUGUCUAGCUGAUCUGGUGGGGACUUGGAGAACCUUUAUGUCUAGCUAAGGGAUUUUGAAUGCACCAAUCAGCACUCUGUGUCUAGCUCAAGGUUUGUGAAUGCACCAAUCAGCACCCUGUGUCUAGCUCAGGGUUUGUAAAUGCACCAAUCAGUGCUCUGUGUCUAGCUGAUCUGGUGGGGACUUGGAGAACCUUUAUGUCUCGCUAAGGGAUUGUGAAUGCGCCAAUCAGCACUCUGUCUAGCUUAGGGUUUGUAAAUGCACCAAUCAGUGCUCUGUGUCUAGCUAAUCUAGUGGAGACUUGGAGAACUUUUGUGUCUAGCUCAGGGAUUUUAAACGCACCAAUCAGCACCCUGUCAAAACAGACCAAUCAACUCUCUGUAAAACAGACCAAUCAGCUCUCUGUAAAAUGGACCAAUCAGCAGGAUGAGGGUGGGGCCAGAUAAGGGAAUAAAAGCAGGCUGCCCAAGCCAGCAGUGGCAACCUGCUCGGGUCCCUUUCCACACUGUGGAGGUUUUGUUCUUUUGCUCUUAGCAAUAAAUCUUGCUGCUGCUCACUCUUUGGGUCUGCACUGCUUUUAUGAGCUGUAACACUCACCACAAAGGUCUGCAGUUUCAGUCCUGAGCCAGUGAGACCACGAACCCACCAGAAGGAAGGAACUCCGAACACAUCUGAACAUCAGAAGGAACAAACUCUGGACACGCCACCUUUAAGAACUGUAACACUCACUGUGAGGGUCAGCGGCUUCUUUCUUGAAGUCAGUGAGAUCAAGAACCCACCAAUUCCGGACACACAAGCAUGAAGUGUUUAUCUGAAAUUUGAGAUACAAUGAUCAAUUUUGCAGUUAUAUCCAAAACCCAUGACUUCAAAUGAUGUUCCUCGGAGACAUAUGCCCCGGAGCAGCUGUACAGACUUCUAAGCUGGAAACUGUUGCAACAUCCACAUUCCCUCAGUGUGGGAUGAGGGCUCCAAAAUCCACACUUCCUGUCGAUGAGAUCUCUGCCAUUCUCAUGGCGAUAAGAAGGCAGAAGAGUGAAGUGCUUUCUCGUAUGACAAUUCAAGACAUUAUUAGAUUUCAAAAUGAGUUCAUGUAAGAAAAUCCUUUAAAAAGUGCCCUAGCCCAUAGUAAGUGCUUAAUAAAUUAACAUUAUUAAUAUGUUGCUUUCAUUGCAAUAAACAAUUAAAAAUAUAAACAGAAAAAACUUUUCUGAAUAGAUAAAAUAAAUUAAACAUGGCCUCUGUCCCUUCUUAUUUUCAACACAAAUGAUUUUGCAUAAGUCAGCAUAUCCGGUUGAUCAAGGUUUCACAUUCUGAGUAUUUCAUAUUAAC
rnacentral:lncRNA from 10 species